CUUUUGCUCUUGCAACUUCUCCUUGAGAUACUUGCUCCAAGAUGAAGAACAAAUUAGUGCUUUGCCAAAUCUAAGGUGAACCUUGGGAUGUCCAUUUAUAACUAUAUAAAGGCAUCCCAGUUCCCAUGUAAUAGUUCAAUCAAUAUCCCUUAGAUAUCUGUCUUUUGUUGUGGUCUUGGUUUACUUUUUAUCCCUUAGAUCUAUAUAAAUUAGUCUCCCUACUAAGAGCUCAUCCAUUUCUUUAGUUUUCAUUUUUGAAAUAGACCAAUUUACAAAUUUAAUUAUCAAAAUUGACCAAGAUAUUUAUUUAUCAAAAUCGACCAACUUUCAGCUACUUCAGCAAUGCACGUUGAAAGUUGGUCGAUUUAUAAAAAAAACACAUUUCAAAAAACUAUGGGAUUGCACCUCCUAUAUGAUUAGUGGCUUACAUUAAUCAUGGGAGUAGCAAACGUCUAAGCGAUUGCCAAUCCCCUAGAACUUAAUACAUGUAAAUUGUCUAUGAGAUGAUAAUCCUGUAAAUAUCUUUGACAGAACACACUAUAGAAACUUGCUCUUGGUUUUUUUUGUCAUAGUGUCUACGAGAUUGUUAAUCCCGUAGAGGUUAAAACAUUUUUUAGCUCGAAGGCAUAGGCUACCCCUUAGAGCUCUAGGGCAAAAUCAUGACUUUAUUAAUCUGACGCUACUAAAUUUUAUGGGAUUGGCAAUCUCGUAAGACUAGUGUAGCUCACAAUUUUAAAGGGCCGUUCACAUAUCUAGAUCAAGACUAUGUUUUCAGCCUCCGUGUUUUAGUUGUGUCUCAGUAUUCUAGCUUUUACAAGUUUGUCGUGUCAUGUACCCACCCCUGUACGGAUACUGCACUCGAAUUUAGGCAUGCACUUAUUGAGAUGUGGAGUCAAUUAUACAAUAGAUUUUUUUAAUUUUAAAAAAUUAACAUACACUUUUUUGGACAAGGAUCGGGUUCAAUUCAGUACAUAUUUGGGCAUCUUAGUCGUGUCCCAGUAUCCCAUCUUUUACAAGUUUAUCAUAUCUUGUACUCGCCUAUGUACCAAUUCCCAUACUCGUAUCCAUGCAACUUAGGUUGUUGCUCUAGUGCUGAAAUUGUGAAAGAAUUGAUAAAAAACCCAAUCUUAAUCCUCUUCUCAUGAUGAAAACAUAAGAUUAAUUUGUUGUUGAUUUGCAAGAGUUUCCGCCAAAGUUAUGUCAUUUUCUUUUGGUUCCACUAUCCAAUUGCCAUGGAUGCUUAGCUGGGCCCCUUGACAUGUAGGGAUUAAAGUUGAGUUUUUUCUUCAGCUGGAGAAGAGAAAUGGGAAAGAAGGGAGAAAACAAUGUGUUAAAUCUUAAAUGGGUGUUAGUGGAGCUCACAUUGAGUUUUUUUUUAUUUAAGAAUGUAGUUAGGAAAUAAUUUACUAAUAAGGAUAUUCUAGUCAUUCUAGAAAAAUUUAAUAGACCUAAAGGAAUGUAUUGUGUCCAUUCUCUAACAGCGUAUGUGAGGAUUAAUUUUUCCAAUGUUGAUGAACUGGAGGGUAAAUUUACAAAUAGCAAGAUUUGAGGCAAUUUUGCAAAUAUGGAUGAUUUGGGGGUAUAUAUGCAAAAACCCUUCAAAUUUUCUGAAACUAAAAUGUAAAACAUAAAUUAAAUAAUCAACCAAAUUGAAUACAUGUCUAGUUGAUAUACUAUAAAUAUUUGUUUAGUGUUAAAUGAACAAUUAAAUCAAAUAUAAACAAAUAUUUAGAUGAAUAAUUAGCAAAUCAUUUGUUAAUUAUCUAAUUCAUUUCCACCCAUAUUAGGGGAUGAUUUGUUUCACCUGGUCCCUGCUAGACCUUCAUAUACAAAUUGAAGCAAAAAGGAAGCACCUCCUGGCAAGAAACCUGAGCCGGUGAGAACUCACCUCCAAAAUAUGAUCAUAGUGCCUCGGAUGGCUGGGAGUACCAUUGGGGUGUACAACGCCAAGACCUUCAACCAGGUAGAUAUGAAGCCCGAGAUAGAAGCAGAUAUUCAAUUUACUUUUGUUUGUUUCAGAUGUUCUUCUUAAUGAGAAGUUUCAAUGUGGAUAUUGCAGUUUUAUUUUAUUUUUAAUGUUCUUUUAAGACAAUAGACAUAUACCUUGAUUUUUCUGUAAGAUGUUUAUGGAAAAGUGAAGACAAAACGAGAAAAGUAGAAUGACAAUCUUGAGGAAGGCCAUGCUUUUUGAGAGAGAGAGAGAGAGAGAGAGAGAGAGAGAGAGAGAGAGAGUCAUGGAGGGUGUUUGGCCGGUUUACCAAUUGGCAUAACCUGUUAAAAGUACAUCAGUAGUAUAACUGUUUUCCUGAAAUUGAGAUUUAGUGUUGGAUUGUAA